AGGAUAUAUUUCCAUACUACGGAUAACACUUGUGCUUCUCUAUAAAUCCACACUCUGAACUCGUAGACCGUGCAUUGCUUCCUCUCAUACAACCUAUAGCUACUAGACCUGAUAUUAAGCCCAAAGCUAGUGUUCUGUACUUCCUCUCUUUGGCCGAUCAUGGCUUUCAAGAUCACCGUCCUGGUAUUGGUAUUGGCGCUGCUCCUUACGUCUUUCGAUGUUGGUGCAAGCAGGGAAUUGCAUUGGGAGGCGCCCCCAGCCAGAAUUCGGGCCUGCGGCAGCCAAGUCUGUGCCGAGACAUGCGUCGAUAAUGGCUAUUGUGGCGGGAUUUGUGACGAAUCUAUCUGCAAGUGCGUCCUCUGCAAAUCACUCCACGCCGGCGCUGAAAACAGAGAAUCCUAAUCUAAGGUGGAUCAAUAAACAAAUAAUCGAUCCUCUCUUUCUCUUAUUCUCCGAGACAAUAUUGUUCUUUGUCUCUUUUUAGCAGAUUAUUAUUCGAGGAGAUCUGAUGUUUUUAUUGUCGUGAGAUUACAUUGUCUCGGUGUAUUAAUCAUGAUCGUUGAUUGUCCGAA